rnacentral:siRNA from 1 species
GGCAUAACACCUUAAACUCUCCU